rnacentral:rRNA from 1 species
UACGUAGGGGGCGAGCGUUGUCCUGAUUUAUUGGGCGUAAAGAGCUCGUAGGCGGUUUGGUAAGUCGGAUGUGAAAUCUCCAGGCUCAACCUGGAGGGGUCAUUCGAGACUGCUAUGACUAGAGUUCGGUAGAGGAGUGUGGAAUUCCUGGUGGAGCGGUGAAAUGCGCAGAUAUCAGGAGGAACACCCGUAGUGAAGGCGGCACUCUGGGCCGAUACUGACGCUGAGGAGCGAAAGCGUGGGGAGCGAACAGG